CAAGACCAAAAAACGCUCUUAUAUAACAUAUAGAGAGAGAAACCCUAGAUCACAAAAAAGAUCUGAGCCUCCCCUCUCUCUCUCCUCCCCUCCCUUGGUGAACCGUCCACCUCCAAAUUCACUCAUCGAGAGGCUCCUCAAGACCUGGUCAUAUCAAGUAACUACAGUGGAUUCUGGCACCAAGGCUUUAAUAUUUCUGAGUUUGGAUGGAGAUGAUCUGAGGAACUCAAAUCAACCUUCUGUUUCCCCAAACGUCCAGCAAAUAUAGAGGUUAUGGGAAUGCUAUUCGGGGGCAGAAAAUCAAAAUUUUGAAGGAUCCGAUGAAGGUUUUAAUGAAGAAACGGUGAAAAAAUAAAGCUCAACCUUCUGUGGCCUCAUCAACAUUCAACUUGGGAUUCAAGGCGCGACUAGAAACAAGAAUAAUGGUGGUAUGAUAUGUAAACAUAUAAUGUUAUUUUUUGAGAUAAAUAAUAUUGUUGGAAAGAUAUGAAGUUGUUUUGAGAACAUAUAAUUUUAUGUCAUGUUUUUUGAGACUUAGAACUACAGA